GCUGCAGUGUACUUAUAUAUAAUAAAUGAAUAAAUCUUUAAAAAAAAAAAAAGAACAGAGGUUCUGACACCCGCCUGCCACCUCUUGCUUGGGAGGCCCCUGAGGUUGGCUCUGUCACAGUCUCGGUGCAUUCUAGACAGCCUGUGCUCUGCCCAAGUCCCCAUCAGGAUGCCUAGCCCAGGAAGACUAAAGUCAGCUCGGCCCCUCCACCAUGCAGGGCAAAGUCGACAGAGGCGUGCCUUCUACUAGAGAACUUUGGCCACAGCUAGUAGACAGCUCAGACAUGACUACGACCAGGGACAGUGAGCAGGUAAGGGAACACUCCUGGCUUGGGGGAGGGGGGUUUUGGGGGGGAAGACCUAAUGAGAGUUAGAAAAGAAUAGGUCAUUUUUAUCCCAGAAUUCAGCAGCCCAGACCUCAGACCUCCUCCCCCAGACCCCAGUUCCUUUACCUCCUCCCUCGAACCCGGGGAAUCCAGUUCCUUGACCUCCUCCCUCAGACCCUGGAAACCCAGUCCCUUGACCUCCUCCCUCAGACCCAGGAACCUGGUUCCUUGACCUCCUCCCUCAGACCCAGGAGUAAUGGCCCAUGUAUUUCUCUAUCAAACCAGAGCUCCAGAUUCCAGCCCUCCUCCUUCCUACCCAGUGAUCCUCCUUAACCUUCCUCCCUUAAACCCACAACUACAAGACUCCAACCCUCUUCCCUCAGACAGAGGAGUCCUAAUGCUUACUCUUUAGGAAUACCAGUUAGCUGGCUGUCCCUGCUACAGCCACCCCAGCCACACAGCUGGAAUACUUUCACACUCGGGAGUUUUCACUGUCAGCGGCUGAAGGACAGCCACGUGCUAGCUCACUGCACAUACUGUACACAUCCGUGCUGACCUUCCCCGGGGUUAGCAUGGAAUUCAGGACUGGUUGUGUACAGGAUGGUGGCCCCUUCCUGAUAUUUGGGCAUCAUGCUUUUCUCUGCAGACCAAGGAGAGGCAGGCAGCUGAGUCCCAAGUUUGAGGAAGACAGGAUAACAGUAUUUUCCUGCUGGGAGAGCUGAAAAGUGGCCAGUGAGGGGAGAGUCUUGCAGAAGUCAUUGAUCAAUGGAUCACAGACUCUCAAGCAAGGCGGUGGUGGCCCAGGAGUUUAAUUCCAGGACUCAGAAGGCUGAAGCUGCAGAGCUGUGAGUUCGAGGCCAACCUGGUCUACAGAGCAACAGGAACUAUCAUUAGUGGCAAAGCCAGAGUGAGCAGCUUUGAUAAAAAGGAACAGCUCGGGCUGGAGAGAUGGCUCAGUGGUCCAGAAGUCCUGAGUUCAAUUCCCAGCAACCACGUGGUGGCUCACAAC
rnacentral:sRNA from 1 species